UACCACCCUUGUACGUUUGAUGUUCUAACGUAGGUCCCUUAUCGGGAUUGCGGACAGUGUCUGGUGGGUAGUUUGACUGGGGCGGUCUCCUCCCAAAGAGUAACGGAGGAGCACGAAGGUUGGCUAAACAUGGUUGGACAUCAUGUGGUUAGUGCAAAGGCAUAAGCCAGCUUAACUGCGAGACAGACACGUCGAGCAGGUACGAAAGUAGGUCUUAGUGAUCCGGUGGUUCUGAAUGGAAGGGCCAUCGCUCAACGGAUAAAAGGUACUCCGGGGAUAACAGGCUGAUACCGCCCAAGAGUUCAUAUCGACGGCGGUGUUUGGCACCUCGAUGUCGGCUCAUCACAUCCUGGGGCUGAAGUUGGUCCCAAGGGUAUGGCUGUUCGCCAUUUAAAGUGGUACGCGAGCUGGGUUUAGAACGUCGUGAGACAGUUCGGUCCCUAUCUGCCGUGGGCGUUUGAGAAUUGAGAGGAGCUGCUCCUAGUACGAGAGGACCGGAGUGGACGAACCACUGGUGUUCGGGUUGUCAUGCCAAUGGCAUUGCCCGGUAGCUAAGUUCGGAACUGAUAACCGCUGAAAGCAUCUAAGCGGGAAGCAGGCCUCGAGAUGAGUUCUCACUGGAGCUUUAAGCUCCCUGAAGGGCCGUUGGAGACUACAACGUUGAUAGGCAAGGUGUGUAAGUGCUGUGAGGCAUUGAGCUAACUUGUACUAAUUACCCGUGAGGCUUAACCAUA
rnacentral:rRNA from 1 species